AAGAAAACAACAGGGAUUGCCCUAGUAACGGCGAGUGAAGCGGCAACAGCUCAAAUUUGAAAUCUGGCUCUUUCAGAGUCCGAGUUGUAAUUUGCAGAGGGCGCUUUGGCUUUGGCAGCGGUCCAAGUUCCUUGGAACAGGACGUCACAGAGGGUGAGAAUCCCGUACGUGGUCGCUAGCUAUUGCCGUGUAAAGCCCCUUCGACGAGUCGAGUUGUUUGGGAAUGCAGCUCUAAAUGGGAGGUAAAUUUCUUCUAAAGCUAAAUAUUGGCCAGAGACCGAUAGCGCACAAGUAGAGUGAUCGAAAGAUGAAAAGCACUUUGGAAAGAGAGUCAAACAGCACGUGAAAUUGUUGAAAGGGAAGCGCUUGCAGCCAGACUUGCUUGCAGUUGCUCAUCCGGGCUUUUGCCCGGUGCACUCUUCUGUAGGCAGGCCAGCAUCAGUUUGGGCGGUGGGAUAAAGGUCUCUGUCACGUACCUCUCUUCGGGGAGGCCUUAUAGGGGAGACGACAUACCACCAGCCUAGACUGAGGUCCGCGCAUCUGCUAGGAUGCUGGCGUAAUGGCUGUAAGCGGCCCGUCUUGAAACACGGACCAAGGAGUCUAACAUCUAUGCGAGUGUUUGGGUGUCAAGCCCGAGCGCGUAAUGAAAGUGAACGGAGGUGGGAACCCGCAAGGGUGCACCAUCGACCGAUCCUGAAGUUUACGGAAGGAUUUGAGUAAGAGCAUGGCUGUUGGGACCCGAAAGAUGGUGAACUAUGCUUGAAUAGGGUGAAGCCAGAGGAAACUCUGGUGGAGGCUCGCAGCGGUUCUGACGUGCAAAUCGAUCGUCAAAUUUGGGCAUAGGGGCGAAAGACUAAUCG
rnacentral:rRNA from 1 species